AACGAACGCUGGCGGCAUGCCUAACACAUGCAAGUCGAACGACACCUUCGGGACUAUUGGCUCACGGGUGCGUAACGCGUGGGAAGCUGCUCUUAGGUUCGGAAUAACCCCCUGAAAGGGGUGCUAAUAUCGGAUAAUGUCUUCGGACCAAAGAUUUAUCGCCUUUGGAUGGGCCGGCGUUGGAUUAGCUGGUUGGUAGGGUAAAAGCCUACCAAGGCGACGAUCCAUAGCUGGUCUGAGAGGAUGAUCAGCCACACUGGGGCUGAGACACGGCGCAGACUCCUGCGGGAGGCGGCAGUGGGGAAUAUUGGAAAAUGGGCGAUAGCCUGAUCCAGCACUGCCGCGAGAGUGAUGAAGGCCGUAGAGAAGUAAAGCUCUUUUACACGGGAUGAUAAUGACGGUACCGGAAGAAUAAGCACCGGCUAACUACGUG
rnacentral:rRNA from 1 species